rnacentral:lncRNA from 1 species
CUCUUUGGAAUAUGCUCCCCAAAGUGAAAAACAAAUAUUUAAAUACUUGAGGAUGAUACCUAGAUACUGUAGCCCAAAGAUGGAAACAACCCAAAGGUCAUCCACAGACAAGAGAUACUCCAGAACAAACUGUACUUCAACUGUACAAACAUCACUUCAAAUUUCUGAAGAUGGAUUAAUGGAUGCCUCAGGAGACAAACGUGGGCAAUAUCUUUUACUCAUAUAAAAUUUGAUAGAAAAACACUGAAAUAUCUGUGCAAGGAAGCAGCUGAUAUGGUGCGAAGAGCCAUACUUAGAUUUCAAGGAGUAAUCUCAUAUACCACUGAUGUAGUGGUACAAUUUAAUCUGUCCUCUCGACAAGAACUUGAACUGAAUAAAUCCACA